GGACCGGUAGCUCAACUGGUUAGAGCACACGGCUUACAUCCGUGAGGUUGGGAGUUCGAGUCUCCCCUGGUCCA
rnacentral:tRNA from 1 species